AACAAACGCCGGCGGCGUGCCUAAUACAUGCAAGUCGAACGGGGAAAGCUUUCGGGUGAGUACUAGUGGCGCACGGGUGAGUAACGCGUGGAUAAUCUGCCUUAGAGUGGGGGAUAACUAGUCGAAAGAUUAGCUAAUACCGCAUAAGACCACAAGAACUGCGGUUCAAGAGGUCAAAGGUUUUUCGCUCUAAGAUGAGUCCGCGUAAGAUUAGCUAGUUGGUGAGGUAACGGCUCACCAAGGCAACGAUCUUUAACUGGUCUGAGAGGAUGAUCAGUCACACUGGAACUGAGACAAGGUCCAGACUCCUACGGGAGGCAGCAGUAGGGAAUAUUGCACAAUGGAGGAAACUCUGAUGCAGCGACGCCGCGUGAGUGAUGAAGGCCUUCGGGUCGUAAAGCUCUGUCGCAGGGGAAUAACACAAUGAAUGUACCCUGUAAGAAAGGAUCGGCUAACUUCGUGCCAGCCGCCGCGGUAACAC
rnacentral:rRNA from 1 species